rnacentral:rRNA from 1 species
AGUGGCGGACGGGUGAGUAACGCGUGAGAAUCUGCCUUGGGGUCGGGGACAGCCACUGGAAACGGUGGCUAAUACCGGAUAAGCCGAUUGGUGAAAGAUUUAUUGCCCGAAGAGGAGCUCGCGUCUGAUUAGCUAGUUGGUGAGGUAAGAGCUCACCAAGGCAGCGAUCAGUAGCUGGUCUGAGAGGACGAUCAGCCACACUGGGACUGAGACACGGCCCAGACUCCUACGGGAGGCAGCAGUGGGGAAUUUUCCGCAAUGGGCGAAAGCCUGACGGAGCAAGACCGCGUGAGGGAGGAAGGCUCUUGGGUUGUAAACCUCUUUUCUCAGGGAAGAAGCUCUGACGGUACCUGAGGAAUCAGCCUCGGCUAACUCCGUGCCAGCAGCCGCGGUAAUACGGAGGAGGCAAGCGUUAUCCGGAAUUAUUGGGCGUAAAGCGUCCGCAGGUGGCGAUUCAAGUCUGCUGUCAAAGCACGGGGCUUAACUCCGUAAAGGCAGUGGAAACUGAAUAGCUAGAGUGCCGUAGGGGUAGAGGGAAUUCCCGGUGUAGCGGUGAAAUGCGUAGAGAUCGGGAAGAACAUCGGUGGCGAAAGCGCUCUACUGGACGGCAACUGACACUCAGGGACGAAAGCUAGGGGAGCGAAUGGGAUUAGAUACCCC